rnacentral:rRNA from 1 species
AACGAACGCUGGCGGCAUGCCUAACACAUGCAAGUCGAACGAGACCUUCGGGUCUAGUGGCGCACGGGUGCGUAACGCGUGGGAACCUGCCCUUAGGCUCGGAAUAACUCCCCGAAAGGGGUGCUAAUACCGGAUAAUGUCUUCGGACCAAAGAUUUAUCGCCUUUGGAUGGGCCCGCGUUGGAUUAGCUAGUUGGUAGGGUAAAAGCCUACCAAGGCGACGAUCCAUAGCUGGUCUGAGAGGAUGAUCAGCCACACUGGGACUGAGACACGGCCCAGACUCCUACGGGAAGCAGCAGUGGGGAAUAUUGGACAAUGGGCGAAAGCCUGAUCCAGCAAUGCCGCGUGAGUGAUGAAGGCCUUAGGGUUGUAAAGCUCUUUUACCCGGGAUGAUAAUGACAGUACCGGGAGAAUAAGCUCCGGCUAACUCCGUG